rnacentral:rRNA from 1 species
UCAAACGGAAUUGACGGGGACCCGCACAAGUGGUGGAGCAUGUUGUUUAAUUCGACGAUACACGUAGAACCUUACCUAGACUUGACAUCCUUGGCGAAGUUAUAGAAAUAUAAUGGAGGUUAACCGAGAGACAGGUGGUGCAUGGUUGUCGUCAGCUCGUGUCGUGAGAUGUUGGGUUAAGUCCCGCAACGAGCGCAACCCUUAUCGUUAGUUAUUUUGUCUAACGAGACUGCCAACGCAAGUUGGAGGAAGGUGGGGAUGACGUCAAAUCAUCAUGCCCCUUAUGUCUAGGGCCACAAACGUGCUACAAUGGUCGGUACAAACAGUCGCUAAUUCGUAAGAUAGAGCUAAUCUGUAAAGCCGAUCUCAGUUCGGAUAGAGGGCUGAAAUUCGCCCUCUUGAAGUUGGAAUCACUAGUAAUCGCGAAUCAGCCAUGUCGCGGUGAAUACGUUCUCGGGUCUUGUACACACCGCCCGU